AUUGAACGCUGGCGGAAUGCUUUACACAUGCAAGUCGAACGGCAGCACGGACUUCGGUCUGGUGGCGAGUGGCGAACGGGUGAGUAAUGUAUCGGAACGUGCCCAGUCGUGGGGGAUAACGUAGUGAAAAUUACGCUAAUACCGCAUGCGAUCUAUGGAUGAAAGCGGGGGAUCGCAAGACCUCGCGCGAUUGGAGCGGCCGAUAUCAGAUUAGGUAGUUGGUGGGGUAAAGGCCCACCAAGCCAACGAUCUGUAGCUGGUCUGAGAGGACGACCAGCCACACUGGAACUGAGACACGGUCCAGACUCCUACGGGAGGCAGUAGUGGGGAAUUUUGGACAAUGGGCGAAAGCCUGAUCCAGCCAUUCCGCGUGCAGGAUGAAGGCCCUCGGGUUGUAAACUGCUUUUGUACAGAACGAAAAGGUUUCUACUAAUACUAGGAGCUCAUGACGGUACUGUAAGAAUAAGCACCGGCUAACUACGUGCCAGCAGCCGCCGCAG
rnacentral:rRNA from 1 species